rnacentral:rRNA from 1 species
CCUACGGGGUGCAGCAGUGAGGAAUAUUGGUCAAUGGCCGGAAGGCUGAACCAGCCAUGCCGCGUGAAGGUCAGUGCCCUAUGGGCGUUAAACUUCUUUUGUGCGGGAGCAAUAAUGGUCACGUGUGGCCAGACGAGAGUACCGUACGAAUAAGCAUCGGCUAACUCCGUGCCAGCAGCCGCGGUAAUACGGGGGAUGCAAGCGUUAUCCGGAUUUAUUGGGUUUAAAGGGUGCGUAGGCUGUGAGGUAAGUCAGCGGGGAAAUGCCCCCGCUCAACGGGGUGAAGUGCCAUUGAUACUGCCUUGCUGGAAUGCGGAUGCCGUGGGAGGAAGGUGUGGUGUAGCGGUGAAAUGCAUAGAUAUCACACAGAACACCGAUUGCGAAGGCAUCUCACGAAUCCGCGAUUGACGCUGAUGCACGAAAGCGUGGGUAUCAAACAGGAUUAGAUACCCUGGUAGUC